rnacentral:rRNA from 1 species
CACGUAGGGUGCGAGCGUUGUCCGGAAUUAUUGGGCGUAAAGAGCUCGUAGGCGGUGUGUCGCGUCGGCCGUGAAAACCUGCAGCUUAACUGUGGGCGUGCGGUCGAUACGGGCAUCACUGGAGUUCGGCAGGGGAGACUGGAAUUCCUGGUGUAGCAGUGAAAUGCGUAGAUAUCAGGAGGAAUACCGAUGGCGAAGGCAGGUCUCUGGGCUGACACUGACGCUCAUGCACGAAAGCGUGGGGAGCAAACAGG